CUGGUUCUCCCUCCUCCUCCUCUCUAAUGUAUCUAUACUAGGCUGGUUCUCCCUCCUCCUCCUCUCUAAUGUAUCUAUACUAGACUGGUUUUCCCCCCACCUAUUAAUGUAGCUAUACUAUACUGGUUCUCCCUCCUCCUCUUUAAUGUAGCAUUACUAGACUGGUUCUCCCUCCUCCUCUCUAAUGUAGCUGUACUAGACUGGUUUUCCAUCCUCCUCUCCUAUGUAGCUGUACUAGACUGGUUCUCCCUCCUCCUCCUCUCUUAUGUAGCUGUACUAGACUGGUUUUCCCUCCUCCUCCUCUCUAAUGUAGCAUUACUAGACUGGGUCUCCCUCCUCCUCUCUAAUGUAGCUGUACUAGACUGGUUCUCCCUCCUCCUCCUCUCUAAUAUAGCUGUA
ensembl:lncRNA